rnacentral:lncRNA from 1 species
AAUAAGAUAGAUUAAAAAAACAAAAGAUACGAGAAUAUAUAAGAAGAAGUUAGAAGUUAUUUUUAACAAAAAUUAAUUCAAAAAAAAUAAAAUUUGAUAUUAAAAAAAGACUAAUUAUCAAUCUAUGUCGAAAUCAAACUCCAAGGCACAAAAUUGGGCAUCUAUAGUAACUCCAAGGUUCUUUUGGACAUCAAAGAGUAGGAUUUGAGAGUAGAAUUAAUAAGAUUUCUUUGAGCAUUGAUUUUGAGUGAUUUGAGUGUAUAAUGACUUUAAAAGAGCCUUAUAAAGUUACUGUGUUGUAUUACAUGGCAUUUGGCUUAAGAAUGCACUAGGCACCUAACUGUAGAAGAUAAAAAUAAAAUUGCAAUAACAAGUUCUAACAACUCUAAUAGAUUCUUAAAUAAAUUAUAAUUAAAUAUUAGUAAAUAUAACCAAACAUCAAUCAAAUUCAAUUAAAAUUUCAAAGGAAUUAUACAAGAAAUACAAAGAAUUCCUAGAAGUCUUUUAAAGAAAUCAUAAAGAAUUAACAUAGAAAUUCAAAAACAAAUAUACUAAAAUAGAAAUCUUAAUAAAACUUUAAAAUAAAAACCUUAAUUAAAUUCUAUUCAAAAUCUAAUCAAACAUUAAUCAAACUUUAGUCAAAUCUUGAUCAAAUCCUUGUUAAAUCCUAAUCAAUCUCUAAAUAAUUCCUAACCAAAUCCUAAACAAAUCCUAAUCAAACUCUAGUCAAAUCUUAAAUUAGCCUUAAUCAAAUUCUAAACAAAUUCUAAUCAAAUCCUAAUCAAAUCCUAAAUAAAUCCUACUCAAAUUUCAAAUAAAUACUAAUCAAAUCUUAGUCAAAUCCUAAAUAAGUCCUAAUCAAAUCCUAAUCAAAUUUAAAUCAAAUUCUAAUAAAAUCCUAAUCAAAUCCUAAAUAAAUCCUAAUCAAAUCUUAAUAAAAUUCUAAUCAAAUCCUAAAUAAAUCCUAAAUAAGCCUUAACCGAAUUCUAAAAAAAUCC